AUUGAACGCUGGCGGCAGGCCUAACACAUGCAAGUCGAACGAGUGGCGGACGGGUGAGUAAUGUCUGGGAAACUGCCCGAUGGAGGGGGAUAAUUACUGGAAACGGUAGCUAAUACCGCAUACCCACGGAGGUGCCCAUAUGGGAUUAGCUAGUUGGUGGGGUAACUGCUCACCUAGGCGACGUUCCCUAGCUGGUCUGAGAGGAUGACCAGCCAUGCAGGAACUAGGCGACGGCCCAGACUCCUACGGGAGGCAGCAGUGGGGGAUAGUGCACAAUGGGCGGAAGGAUGAUGCAGCGUCGCCGCAUGGGGGAUGGAGGCUUGCGUGGUGUAAACCUCUUUCGCGGGUAGGUGGAGAAGAAGCACCGGCUAACUACGUGCCAGCAGCCGCGGUAAUAC
rnacentral:rRNA from 1 species